rnacentral:rRNA from 1 species
AACGUAGGAGACAAACGUUAUCCGGAGUUACUGGGCGUAAAGGGCGUGUAGGCGGUUGGUUAAGUCUGGCGUGAAAGCUCUCGGCUAAACCGGGAGAGGUCGUUGGAUACUGGCCGACUAGAGGACGGUAGAGGCGUGUGGAAUUCCGGGUGUAGUGGUGAAAUGCGUAGAGAUCCGGAGGAACACCAGUGGCGAAGGCGACACGCUGGGCCGUACCUGACGCUAAGGAGCGAAAGCGUGGGUAGCAAACAGG